rfam:Bacillus vietnamensis strain TCD-SED5 scaffold_1, whole genome shotgun sequence.
CGAGUCCUGAUGUGUACGACGUUUUUACCUAACAGUUUUGACCGAACAAUUCAAACUUCGGGAGCUUGAUGUUUCCGCUAGGCGUUCAUGCCCCGUGCCGGGGACUAACAAAUAGUGGAAUAAAGCACCCACCUGCCGAGAGCGGGUUCAAAACGAAGGAAAUGAUGGCGGCGGCACGAUUGGGACUCGU